rnacentral:rRNA from 1 species
GACGAACGCCGGCGGCAUGCCUAAUACAUGCAAGUCGAGCGAACAGAUGAAGUGCUUGCACUUCUGACGUUAGCGGCGAACGGGUGAGUAACACGUAAGGAAUCUACCUAUAAGCGGGGGAUAACAUUCGGAAACGGGUGCUAAUACCGCAUAAUAUCUUCUUCCGCAUGGAAGAAGAUUGAAAGACGGCUCUGCUGUCACUUAUAGAUGACCUUGCGGUGCAUUAGUUAGUUGGUGGGGUAACGGCCUACCAAGACGAUGAUGCAUAGCCGACCUGCGAGGAUGAUCAGCCACAUUCGGCCUGAGACACGGCCCAAACUCCUACGGGAGGCAGCAGUAGGGAAUCUUCCGCAAUGGGCGAAAGCCUGACGGAGCAAUGCCGCGUGAGUGAAGAAGGCCUUCGGGUCGUAAAACUCUGUUAUAAGAGAAGAACAAAUUGUAGAGUAACUGCUACAGUCUUGACGGUAUCUUAUCAGAAAGCCACGGCUAACUACGUGCCAGCCGCCGCCGUAA